AAGUCGUAACAAGGUUUCCGUAGGUGAACCUGCGGAAGGAUCAUUAGAAAUCGCCGGCUUAGCCGGUAUAAAAUUCUAUCCACCUUGUGUGCAAACAAUGGAAAAAAAAAGAGAGAAAAAUUGGAUACUUUUUUUGUAUCCAACCUCUCUAAAAAACUUUAUAAACUCCAUCAAAUUUUGAAUAAAACUAAUUUUUUUUUUUUAAAUAAAAAAUAUUAUACAACUUUCAACAACGGAUCUCUUGGCUCUC
rnacentral:misc_RNA from 1 species